rnacentral:rRNA from 1 species
GGUAUGAAUGGCUAAACGAGAAAUAGACUUUUUUUAUUAUAAAAAUCGAAUUUAAUUUUUUAGUGAAAAAGCUAAAAUGAUUCAGAAAGACGAGAAGACCCUAUAGAGUUUUAUGCUUCAUCGUUACUUUUCUUACUAGAUUUUUUCAGAUUAGUAACCUUAGAGCAUUUUGUUGGGGCGACAUUAAGAUAUAAAAAACUCUUUAUUUUUAAUAUUUUUAUGAAAAAUUAAUUUGAUCCUUUAAAAAAGAUCAAAAGAAAAAAUUACCUUAGGGAUAACAGCGUAAUCUUUUUUGAGAGUUCUAAUCGACAAAAAGGUUUGCGACCU